rfam:Schistosoma mattheei strain Denwood, Zambia genome assembly, scaffold: SMTD_scaffold0000187
AUCCAGCUGACAAUUCCCAAAUAGGACUAAACACGCGUCAAACUGGAU